rnacentral:rRNA from 1 species
UAGGGAAUCUUCGGCAAUGGACGGAAGUCUGACCGAGCAACGCCGCGUGAGUGAAGAAGGUGUUCGGAUCGUAAAGCUCUGUUGAUAGAGAAGAACGUUGGUCGGAGUUGAAAAUCUACCAAGUUACGGUAACUAACCAGAAAGGGACGGCUAACUACGUGCCAGCAGCCGCGGUAAUACUUAGGUCCCGAGGGUUGUCCGGCUUUAUUGUGCGUAAAGCGAGCGCAGGCGGUGCUUUAAGUCUGAAGUUAAAGGCAGUGGCUUAACCAUUGUACGCCUUGGAAAGUCGAGGACGUGAGGGCAGAAGGAGGGAGUGGAUAUCCAAGUGUAGAGGUGAAAUGCGUAGAUAUAUGGAGGAACACCGGUGGCGAAGGCGGAUCUCUGGUCUGUAACUAACGAUGAGGCUCGAAAGCGUGGGGAGCAAACAGG